CCUACGAGGGGCUGCAGUGGGGGAUAUUGCACAAUGGGGGGAACCCUGAUGCAGCGACGCCGCGUGGGUGAAGAAGCGCCUCGGCGCGUAAAGCCCUGUCAGCAGGGAAGAAAAUGACGGUACCUGAAGAAGAAGCCCCGGCUAACUACGUGACCGCAGCCGCGGGAAUACGUAGGGGGCAAGCGUUAUCCGGAUUUACUGGGUGUAAAGGGGGCGCAGACGGCGAUGCAAGCCAGGAGUGAAAGCCCGGGGCCCAACCCCGGGACUGCCCUUGGAACUGCGUGGCUGGAGUGCAGGAGGGGCAGGCGGAAUGCCUGGUGUAGCGGUGAAAUGCGUAGAUAUCAGGAGGAACACCGGUGGCGAAGGCGGCCUGCUGGACUGCAACUGACGUUGAGGCCCGAAAGCGUGGGGAGCAAACAGGAUUAGAUACCCCAGUAGUC
rnacentral:rRNA from 1 species